rnacentral:rRNA from 1 species
UGAGGAAUAUUGGUCAAUGGGCGGGAGCCUGAACCAGCCAAGCCGCGUGAGGGAAGAAGGCCCUAUGGGUCGUAAACCUCUUUUGUCAUGGAACAAAAGCGAGUAUGUAUACUAGUCUGAGUGUACCUGAAGAAAAAGCAUCGGCUAACUCCGUGCCAGCAGCCGCGGUAAUACGGAGGAUGCGAGCGUUAUCCGGAUUUAUUGGGUUUAAAGGGUGCGUAGGCGGCGAUGCAAGUCAGCGGUAAAAGCCCGGGGCUCAACCCCGGCGAGCCGUUGAAACUGCAGUGCUAGAGAAGGCGAGAGGUACGCGGAAUGCGCAGUGUAGCGGUGAAAUGCUUAGAUAUUGCGCAGAACUCCGAUUGCGAAGGCAGCGUACUGGCGCCUGACUGACGCUGAGGCACGAAAGCGUGGGGAUCGAACAGGAUUAGAUACCC